rnacentral:snoRNA from 1 species
ACCCUCCAGGUCCCUUACCCUUCAGAUCUAAACAUUGGUCUGAGUGUCAAUAAAAGGAGUUACAUUAAAUGUGAAUUGGACUUGGAUGCAUUAGGGAUAUACAAGUUCAUUUCAAAAAUAA